ACCCCUGUUGAAUAUGCAUUAGACAUGGUAACGUCAGCGUAACAUAUUAUAAAAGUGGCAUCCCAGGGCAGUAGGGGAGAGAGAUGUAGCCCUUGGGAAGGGCCAGAGUGAUGGCCACUGAUGAAGAUGAGGAGGAUGAUGGUUAACAUUUCAGAUUGUGCUGAAAGGGAUGGUGAGGACCUGAGCCAAGACCUGAGAGAUGGAGACCAGGGAAGUCCAUUCUGUUUGGCAUAGAUGGCUCCAGAUGUGUUACCUGUCAGCUCUGUGUUCUUGGGGAACCAGGGCGCAGUAGCCAGCCUGUCUGACUCAAGGAAGACCUUCCCCCACCCGCCCAGCCUCUGCUUGAAUCAAAAUGGAUCAGAAGAAGGACUUACAAAAAGCAAUGAAAAGGCGGUGGAAGACACACACCUGACAGGAUUAAGGAAACCCCCCAAGCCUCAUUUGCAUCGGAGAUGGGACAGAGAGGCAUCUCCAUUAGCGUACAGAAUGAAGAGCAGAGAUUCCAAGGCAAGAACUGCACGGAACUCUGGGACCAGGAAAGCACUGCAUGAUGGGGAAUCUCUGCUCCAGAUGUUAUUGAACCCAGGCCUGCACACAUCCAGCUCAGUAGUUACUAGACCAAUUCCAGUAAUAAAUCCUUUAUUGGUAUUUAAAUACUGAAGCUGUCUAAUUGUAUUGUGAGCUCCCUGGAAGGAACACCGCCCACAGCCAGGAAUAAUCAGUUCCUAUUGUCUAGCCUGAACAAAACAACUUUGGUAUACUCCCUUGAACCGUCAGUUUACCCAUAAACAAAUCUAGUGUUCUCUCUUGAACCACUGUUCUUUCCCUACACAAACCCCUACCCAUGCUCAAGUAAGCGUUCUGAUGCCUGGAUCCAAAAUCUGCAUCAGUUCCAUAAGGACUUCAUCUUCUCCUUACUGAUUGUGCUGGAGAUUCUGCCUGUCUUCAGCGCUCUGGACCCUCAGCUACCAUCACCAUCUGGGACCACCGAUCGAUUCAAGCUUCAUGGAGUGGUGAGAACUCAGCGCACGUGCAUGCUCUGUCUCUCUCUCUUUCAGUAUAGUCUUCUGACCCUGACUUGUGUGAUCAGUUAUAGUUUUCUAAACCUGACUUUUAUCAUCAAAUUUAAGUUAGAUUUAAUAUUAUAACUUUUGUUUGUUUGGCUCCCCUAUGGUUAUUACCUGGCAAUAAAUAACUUUC